rnacentral:rRNA from 1 species
CCCCAGCGCCACAAGUGGGAGUCGCUUUUAUUGGGCCUAAAGCGUUCGUAGCCGGAUUUACAAGUCUUUUGUGAAAUCGUUUGGCUCAACCAAACGGCGUGCAAGAGAUACUAUAAUUCUAGGAACUGGGAGGAGUAUGGAGUACUCCAGGGGGAGCGGUAAAAUGUAAUAAUCCCUGGAAGACUACCAGUGGCGAAGGCGCCAUACUAGAACAGAUUCGACGGUGAGGGACGAAGGCUAGGGGAGCAAAACG